rnacentral:lncRNA from 1 species
AAGAAGACAUAAAAGGACGCAGCACUCACCCCUGCUGCUGCUGUCCUCUUGCUCUUCCUAUGGUUUAUGCUGCGUGCAGGACAUCUCUUCUCUAUACCUUCUCUUUUUCCUUCAAAGCUCCCUUUUCUCCCUGAGCACUUUUGUACUUUCCUUUUUUUAAACAACAGAAAAACAUUUCUGUCCUAAAAUAAUUGGUAACCUUUCACAUCCGUCAAAUUUCUUGACCAAUUCAUAGCAGGGGACAAAUAGCCUGGAAGACACUGCUGGUCUCUAGCCCAUUCGAUAGCAAGCAGACACCCUCUGACUGAGGACUGUGAGCCCUGCACGCACCAAGAUAGUCCCUCGGCAUCACCAAGGCUGUAGGGCUCGGUCUAUGAGAUGGGCUUAAAAGCAGUGUGCAGCCUGGGGUGAAGACCACUUGGGAGGGAGAAGGGGGGGGGAGGAAGAAAAUGGGGGGGGUGGGUAAAUGGGAGGGAAGAAGGGGAGCGCUCACGCUGAGUCCAUGCUUGUCCCGCACUCUGCUCUUCACAGUGGCCCCCUUUGGCCCCCCAGCACCCAUGAAGUUGUCCCCCCAAAGUGUAAUUCAACAGGAGCCCCCUUGGCAAAACUCAGCAGUCCUGUGGCUAAACACUGUAUCCCAUUCGCUCUGUGCUCUCAGCACGCACCCUGCCUUCACCCCUUCCUGGAGUCCUUCCCUCCCUUGGCCUGGGCUUGGGGGCAGGGAGGGGUCAGGAUUAUGUGCCUGGUCUUUCCCAGAAACCAUUUGAUAAUUUUUUUACAGCUGAGAUAUUUUUGAGCAGGUUUUGAUUUUUAUUAGAUCUUUUUGAUAACAAAAAAUAGGUGUUUCUUAUAACAAAUGAAACAAUGUAACUAUAAAUGAAAAACAAUAGUUCUUCCCCCAAUCCUGCCUCACAUGAUUAACAAUGGCCUGGUUAUUCCUUCAGUCAUUCAAAUAUAUAUGUAAUAUCACUACAUAUAUAUAUGUAGUGUGAUCACAAUAUAUGGCAUGUGUUUUGGAUACACAAGCUUAAAUAUCACAUAGUUACUCUUAUAUGAGAAACCCAAAACAUACAGAACAAUAUGAUAGGAGGGAGAUAGAUGUUCUGCAAAUGAGAAGGGGGACCAAGCAAUGUGAGGAGGGAAGAUUAAAAAAAAAAUUAAGAUGUGUUGUGUACGUGUCCCAACUCUACGUGGGGAAUGUGACCAUUAGGUACUGCAAACAUGUAUUAGUAAAAGGUUAAAAAACACUUACAGAAAAAUACCACCCCCCAGCUUUGAACACUUAUCAUUCUUGCCACUUUCUGAAGUGGUUCUGGAAGUCCUCUUUCCCGAGUGACUUUAUCAGGUGUGAUUAAAAAAAAAUAGUGUGGGGCCGGGGAUUUAGCUCAGUGGUUCCAGCUCCUGCUUUGCAAGUACAAGGUCAUGAGUUUGAUCCCCAGUGCCCCCCCAAAAAACUCAAUGAAUGCUGGUGCUGAAUGCUAUCCAACAGAAAGAUAGGCUCACAAAAAAUACAUUAUGCUGUGUCCUCACCCAUCUUCUUCACUAGAUCUGGCACUGUGCAGCUUCUGGCUCUUUUCUAAAGUCAAAAUGACCAUGAAAGGAAAACGUUUUGAAAAAGAUUCAGGAUGUGGAAGCAGCCACAACAGCCAACUAAAGACACCCAGGAAAGAGGACUUCAGACCUGCUUCAGAACAGUAGGACAAGUGUGUUUGAAGCAAAGUGACAUAUUGUGAGGGGGAUUAAUAGCAAUAUGUCUUUGCUGUAAUGCUUUUUAAAAUUUGCAUAUUAGCCACAUUUUUUGAUCACACUGCAUGUACUUUUUUGGUACCAGGGAUUGAACUUGGGACCUUUUGAGGCAGGCAACGGCACCACUGAGCUAAGUCCCCAGCCCCACACUGCACAUCUUAAAGCUAACGUUUUCUUUUAAUGUCAUGGAAUUUAGUAUAGAUGCCAAAAUCUCCAGAGUGGCUACCAAAAUGCCAAGCAUAACUGUCACGUUCCCCACGACCAAUCCCAUCUGCAGAUGGAGGGACCAGGCGGUGGUGGAGCUGGGGCCCCAAAGCACACUGGCUGGUCACACUUGUGCCUGCUGCCCUGCCCUCCUCCUAGGGGCAGACUCUGGGGCUGGCCUGAAGAAGGGCUGGAGAAAAUGAUUCUUAUUCUCUGGCAGGUAUAUUUUCCCCAAGCACCUGGAUUUUAAAGGGGCAGAUGCUGCCUUUUUGAAGCAUGAGACAAAGAUCAAGUAGAUGAAUCUCAGGGGUGGUUUCCUGCUUUCCAUUUCCUUUGAAGUUACUGGGAAUAAUGGGGUUAGGAUCUGUGGGUUAGGGUAUGGGGAAGCCCCCCAGGUUGAGGCACUGAGGCCUGGGGUGGAGCCACAGAGAGGGGCCUGGCCCAGCUUUGGGGCCUCUUCACAUUGGACAUUUCCCCCUCAGGCUCCUGCCAAAGCCCUGAUUUUUUGUUUUACUUUCCCCCCUCCUUGCUCUUUAUUUCUGAAAUUUCUAUUUGAAGCUAAGAGAUUUCUUCCAUCUAAACUCAAGACAGCUACAGUAAGCCAGGAUUAACUCUCCCUUCAACCUUUGAGAAAUGGUCUCAGGAUAGGGGCAAGGAUGUUUAGUUUGCCAGGGAGUAAUAAGCAUCUGAGGUUACUCAUCAGUCCCUUAGGUGAAAACCCAGGAGGCUGCCAGAACCAGCCAGCACCUCCUGUCCUGGCCCUCAGGUUGCUCAUGGCUCAAAUGAUAGUGUUUUCUUUGCCCCUCAAGGUCUGACAGGCAUUGCUUGUCUUCUAUUUCCUAGUUGCAAGGUAUUUUUUUCAAUUUGGAACAUGUGUUCUAAUUUGAAAACGAAUGAGUUUUCUUCAGUAAAACUUGCCACCUUUCAAAGAGGUUUGCUCUAACCCAAGCUUAGACACUAGUGGCCAGAGCCAGAGGUUUGGGUGGAGAUGGGCCUGCUGGCUGUGUGCCCCCACUUUGGACUCCACCAUCUUUGGGCCCACCAUGGCCUGGUUAUGACACACACAUGGCCUUGCCCACCACGGAUCUGGAGCCACUUCUGCCAAAGACUGGAGGAAUAAGAAAAGCCAGUCCAGCCUGUUGGAUCAGUAACACAGAUAAGCAAGAGUAAGAAAGCUGUCCGUUCCUGAGUAAAAACACCAAAGCUCCACAACCCCCUGUACCUUCACAACACUGCAGAGUAAGCCAUGGCCCCCAAUUGUACCCCGAGGAUGCUGCUGCCCUAGGUAGCAACACUGCCAGCAGCCUCUACCCAAGGUAGAAAUGACUGUCAUCUACUCGUUUCAGGAGAGCAACGGGGUCCCCCAAGAAAUUAAGGUCUUUUUCAAAAUAGCAUUCUGGGGUCCCUUUUUGAACCUCUGUAGCUGUCAAUUCUACAUGGCUCUGCGGGGCUGGGAUGAAGCCCGGUGGGAUUAAGGAGACUUGGAGAUGUUUUAGAAUAAGCAGCUUCCGACUAUUAGUAACUUCACACCUACGGCUAAGGCUCAACCCUCCCUGCCCCCUUUCUUAGCCCAAAAGGACAUGAUCAUUCUGUUGUGGGUGUGAAGCAGCAGGUGCACCCAUCUGUGCUUCUACACAGAAUAGGACCACACACCCUCUCCAUCCCCACCAAGCCCCCGAAGGAAGUGUAUGACUCAUGGAUGCCUAUAGAAGUGUUAUCAGCCUGCGCACACAUGUGUGUGCCUGUACAUGUGUAUGUGUGUCUACAAACACAUGUAGAUGCAUAUCCUCUCUUCCUACUGAUUCUGCUCCACAAAUUUUUGCCAAAUCUGAUAACCAUGCUUUUUCAGUUCUGUCCCAUCCAGGUCUUCAGGUACAUGACUUUCAAAAAUCAUAAGAACAAAAGUCAACUUAUUUAACCUCGACAGUUAUAGGCUAGAGAGCCACUGUUUCCAGCUGUCCUUGUUGGCCCAGACCUCUCCAGGGUAUCCCCCUCCCAGAGUUCCCCAGAACCACACCGUCAACCAGCACGCACGGCAGGACAGCCAGCUCCCAGGGUUCCUUCUGGGUUGUGUUAUAAAGUCUGGCAGAGACAUCAACACAUGUCAACAUGUUCCUUUUGGUGACAUGUUUGUCUUUUCCUUGUUAGCUUUGGUUCAAGGCUGUAAAUCCAUAAGAGGAAGCGGUUUCCAAGCCUAAGCAAAAAGUGAGCAGAUGCACUUCAUGGACUUUGGGGUUUCUCUGUGCAGAUCUUCCCCUCCAUCACUUACCUCCCCAUUAUUUUUCUUAGAAAUCCAAAUAAAAAGGAUAUUUGGUGAUCAAAGUGAAUUCAACAGGCAGGGCAUGAAUGGAUACAAACCACCAAGCUCCCAGUGAGCUAUGUCUAUGGUCAGAUGUUGAUGAGAUCCAUCCUGGUCCCCAUAUUUGUUGCCUCUGAAGGGAUUGGAUCCUUCUCUCUGCUUUUUCAUCUGAGCCUCUGCAGUUCUCUUGUUCUUUGCUCUGUUCUGUCUCUGCUCUGGUUUGAACCCUGCUAUGUCAGCUCUCUUGUCUCCUUUUUAUUAUUCAAACCGUCUUUGAGCUGUUGGCAUUAGUUCUGCAGGGUGCCUGGGAGGGAAUUCUGAAAGCUCCAAAAUGGUCCCCCUCUACCUCCAGUGGAAGAGGAGGACCCAGGAAACCCAGCAAAACAAGUCCGGUUUUAUUGGUUCUUCCUCUGAGUAAAAAACUGCUCAAGUUUUGAACAAAUUCGUAUACAGCAUAAACACUUAUCCAGAGUUAAAUCUAAAUCCAUCCAGGCAGUUUCAUGUUGACAAAAGGUAAGGAUUUACCAUGUUAGGGUAUCCAAAAGAAUUUGCCAUAGACUCUGAAGAAAUUUAAAGCAGAAGACUGCACAUGGCAGGGAAGAGCAUGUGACACAGGUGACCAGGUUCUGACCCACAACUGAUUCUGGGCACCUGUGAACAAGUUACUACAUCACUGUGGCUUCGUAAAGUGGCAGCCCACCCCAUACCUUCCCCUGACUAUUCGAGUCAUAUGACAAAUAGUUCAUACCAUGAACGGAGCUGUGGAUGGUGUAGAGAUGCCCUGGUUCCAAAUGACCAUGAGUCAGAAGAGCCUCAAAGUCUGAAGCACAGGCUGCAGAGCAGACCGAUCAGGCAUCCAUUCCAGCCCCUGACUGUGUGGUGCCCUGGACCUGCACUCCCUCAUUUGGAAGAUGGAAAACACUACCUACCUCAGGACUUGCUGGUCUUAAGAGAAUCCAAAAACAGUGCAGAAGAGGCCUUACCCACCCACCUUUGGCCCUGAUGGUGAGAGACAUGCUCCAAAGAACAGGAAGGAAACCAUCACUUUCACAACUGACUUUGUGUAGCUCCCAGCAAGGACAUCAGAAGAGGUGACCCACAUUGCAAGAAUGAAAUGGAGGAGCCAGCCUGCCAGGGGACGCCACUCACCUGUCACCAGAUCCUAUGCUCUUGUGACACCUGUUUUCCCUAGAAAUAAUUCCUACCAUUGGUGAAGCUCCUCAAGUUCCCAUGGCCUAGGGCAGGACCUGUACCAUGUGCCAAAUUCUGUGCUGCUGCUUCUGCGAAGGACACAAGAACAGCACAUGCUUGGGGAUUGCCCUUCCUGGAGGAGAUGGCACAGGAGCAGCUGGAUAGGACAGUGAAGGGCCUGCAGUGUGGCUGGAGCUCUGUGUGUGUUCCCCAGGGUGGAUGGGGAACCCCAGGAACUGGAAACAGGCCAGGAGAAGAGAUGACACUCAGAGAUAUGACUUAAGUAUAAGGCUGUGACAAAAUGAGAAACUGGAGCCAGGGAUUUAUCUCAGUGGUUCCACUGCCUGCCUCGCAAGCACAAGGUCCCGAGUUAGAUCCCUGGUACCAAAAAACCAAAAACAAACCAAAAAAAUGAACCGAAUAGAACCUCUUAGAAGGAGUAAAAAUAGCCGAAAGAGUUCAACGUAUCUGGCCAUUAGAGGGAAUACAAAUUAAAAUAAUAUUGAUAUUCCAUCUUGCCCCAGAAAGAAUGGCCAUCAUCAAUAAAUCAAUAACAAAUGCUGAUGGGGGGUGGUGGUAAAGGAAUUCUUCCUACACUGUUGGUGAGAAUGUAAACUGGUACAACCACUAAUGGAAGUCAGCAUGGAGAUUCCUCAAAAAACUGAAACUUGAAAUUCCAUUCCACUCAGUUAUUUCCCUUCUAAGCAUCUUCCAGAGAGAGUCAUCAUACUACAGUGAUAUAUACACACCCAUGAUUACAGCACCAUAGCUCACAGUAGCUAAAUCUUGGAAGCAGCCUAUAUGUUCAUCAACAGAUGAAUGGUCCUGCAGGUAGCUGCGAGCAGCUGAAGGUUUUGGAAUGUGAUGUCAGGAUUUGAUUUCUAUCUUGGAGCAGUUUUGGAAAUGGACCACAAAUCAACGAAAUAACUGACCCACCAGCUUGGGAGUAGAGACAGGAGUUAUGGUGCCCUUUAAGCCCAGCCCCUCGGCGGCCACAGCCUGAGAACCUAUAGGGUUUGAAAAGUCCUUAUACAAGUUCACAGUUCCUCUGAGCUAAAAAAUAAAUUCAGAAUAAAACAGAUCACAGUUGUCUGACAUUUCUAAAAUUCUCCUUAUCUGGUGUCACGGGGUCUGCCCGGAUGGAGAAGGGGCAGAGAGGCUGUCUGCACCCUGGAGUGGAGGGAAUGGGAAGGCAGCAGCGGGUGGCAGAGGAUCUGGUCACAGUUGCCCAGUUUCCUCUUUGCUGUCUCUGAGAACCAUUGUUUUGUGGCCUGGGUCUAAAACAGAGACAGAUCUGCGAUUGUGCCAAGAAAAACUCCCUGGGCCAGCUCUGAGACUACUGCACACACGGGCGUGGACCAGUGCAAGUGUGUUUCAAAAGCAAACAGUGGUGUGCAGUCCCUCACACGCGGGCAAAGCGAUUGACCAUGACUUGUGGGGUCACGGGCUCCUCCAAUGCCCUUCAACCCGAACUCACAAUUGGUCGUCCUAGGAAACAGAAGCCAGGGGGGCUCCCAGUUACCCCUCACUCAAUUCUGCUGGGAAGACUGACAAUCGAGGAGAUUAGAGCCGCUCUGCAAGCCCAGAAGGGGUGGAGCCGAUGCUGGGGCCAGGGGUCGUGUUUUGGGGUCAGAGGCCUGGGAGCUUCUGCCAUCGACCCCUGCCUGAAGGUUCAAGUUUGAUCUGUCAUUUGCAAAUGCCUGUGUCAGAUAAUUCAUCUCCUGUGGCCACAGCACAGUGUGACUUGGCUGGAGGAACGAAGCAUCGUGGAGAAAAGCAGCACCCAGGACAUCACAGAAAACUUUAAAAGAUUCCAAGACGGGCCCUGCCCUAGGCAGAGACAGCAGAGGUCAAAAAUUCACUCCAGGCCUGCUGGGGACUAGGAGCCUGGGGAUAGAACGUGGCUCUUCCCCAAGAUAGGGUCCCCAUCUGGGGCACUCAGACACCCUGGACCAGCCCGGUCCACCCCAUAGCUUCCCACCCAACCCAGCAUCGACCUGGUCACCCUGCCUCAGAUGAGAGAAUGGAGUUGACAGCCAGGGGUGGGGCAUGUGGACUGUGGAUGCAGAACCGAGGAACAGAGAUGGAAACAUGUCAGCUGCCCAGGGGCUGUGGCGGAGGUAUCCACAGAAGGCCACCAGGGAGAGCAGCCAAGUGCCACUUGGCUCUUUGCAGAGAGCACUGCAGCGGCCACAUGUGCUGAAACUUGGGAGGGAGGCGAGCUCUGUGAGCACCACAGCAUCACCCACUGGACACCUGGUCCUGCCCUCCUGGAUCCCCUCUGCCUGGGCCCUCUCCUCACACACAGCCAUGUGAGCUCCCAGACAGAUAUAAUAUUGCACGUGCAAUGUUAUGUGACACACAGGCCAUCACAACCCGACCAACCAGCCCAUCGUGAGUGACACGCGUAGUCCGAUAAUGCCCUUGUGCACAGCACAAUCAAGACCCUUGAACCUGGCUCUGUGACGUGAGUGUUCCCACCCGGUAUGCUGAGGUCCCUUAUGGCAGGGUCCCUUGAGAGCUCUGCCCUCACCUCCAUUUCCAAACAGGUUCCUGGUGGGAGGGGUGUCCCAGUGGGCAUGUGCAGCACCAUGUGUAGUUCUUGAACCCAGGCCACCCACACAGCCCAAUGGGCAGAUCCCAGAAGACAUCCCCAUAUAGCAAGGAUGGGUUCACAUUGAGGAUGACGGCAGGACCAGUCUCGGGGUCUCCCCUAGGUGCCGUGGGCCCACCUGUCUCCCCUCUUGACUGCUCACCUCCCCACCACCACCUGCUGGUCACAGUAGCAGAGGCAGACCCCCUCAGUGUCACCACAGCCCACACUCAGGUAGGUGCCGGCAGCUGCAGCCCUGCUCUGUGAACUGCUGAUUCCUAACGCUCCUGCCCUUUGAUAUCCCUGGAGGUUUACAGAUAAAAAGUCCCCAGAGUGUUGGAAGGCUCAAAGAUCUGUGGCAUUCAAGCCAACCACUCAGACCACAAAUCUGAAUUUGUGGAUCACCCAAGCAUCACCACCACCCUGGAGUCUCUCCCUGUCCUCCCAUGACUGCCACACCUCCCAGUAGUCUGGAUGCUGCAUCUGUUUGCAUCCAAGACGACCCUCAGGGUGUCGCCUGUCUUUUUCACUCCUCAGCAAACAUUGAUAGAGCCUGGCACAUUAUGCCUGUUCAAUGUAUUCUGGGCCCCAAGACUCGGGUUAAUAAAACUGCCAGUCCCUGGCCUCCUAGGUCUUAUAUUCGGGUGGGGAGAAAGACAUAAACAAACAGCUAAUGGAGUGUGAUGAGCACUAAAGAUAAAAAUAAAACCAACAGGAUGGAGAAGUGACAGGGUGGGCAGCAGCAUGGGGACUUUGAAGGGCUGUCAGAAAAGCCCCUGUGUAGGGGAAGCAGCAGGGGGUGCCUCUCAGGGACAGUGGGCCAGGAGGCCUCGAACCUUUGCAGAAAACAGACUCCAUUCCCUCAGCAAUGAAAUUGAAUAAAUAGCAAUAAGAUCUCCAAUCCCUUAUGUUAUCACACUUGGCCAUAUCAUGUGCCUGUCCAUCCAUUUCUGCAUUCACUCCUCAUAACUCCCUGGCUAUCAUUCACACAAGAUGCUGAAGCAGAGGUCCAAAGAUGGGAAGGGGCCUUCCCAAGGCCGUACAGAGAAAAGCCAGUGGCAGGACUAGAUUAUUGGGACGUCUCUUUCCCAGCUAUGUGCUCCCUAGGAAAAUGGGUCAUGCUGGAUGACUCUACUAUAUUCUGCUGAACAUUCCUACCCCAGGUGCCUGAUUAGAACUGAGAAAAGCCCAUUGUGAGCAGCCCCGAUUCCCUCCAGUCUGACUCCAAUAUAGCUACAUGGUUACUGGUGGGGGGAUUAGUGGAGGACAUAGCUACCCCACUCUUAGAUCGUAGGAGCUGAAGCCAGCAAAAAAGAGCUAGAGAGCAGUGUGUGAACUCUGUGUACCAUAUUUGGCUGUCACUGCUGCAUACAUAUCUACUCACCCUUGCCCACCUUUGUGUGUUUGAGUGAAUUUCUUCUGGACUAUUGACAUAUAGAUCCCAAAUUUGCUCAUAUCGACAGACUCUAAGGUAGGAAAUCUCCAGUUUCAUAUGAGUUUAGUCAAAUCUAUUUUCCUUUAUGACCUCAGUUUCUCUUGUGAAAUGAACAUUUUGAAUUAGAUGGCCUGUGAGUUUCUGGCAUCCUACAAUUCUACAUGUGUAAACAUGUACGAUUGGUUGGGGACCCAAAGUAAGCCCUACUGUGAGGUGCUGUAUCAUACCUGGCUGGAGACUUCUGAGUCAUUGUCUCAACAAAGAUGUUUUUCCCAAAACAGAGCUUCCCGUGGUACAGAGUCCACUUGUUUCUUCAAAAUCCGCAGCAGUUGCUCAUUGCAAAACCAAGGCAGGGCAAAGCCUUCAGGAUGCGAAUGGGAACAAAAAGGAUGCAGGAAGGAACAAGAAAGCAAGAGGAGGAGAAAGAGAAAGGCAAAGUGAAGAAAAAAGUGGUGGGUGGAAGGGAUGCAGUGACAGGCUCAGGGACAGGAAAUGUCUUAGUAAAAGAUUUCCAGAGUUUUGUAAUCUGUUUCUUGUAUAAGGCAUACGGGCUUCAUUAAUAAGAAGGUGGGUGGGUGCCUUAGUUAUUUUUCUCAUUGCUGGGACAAAAAAUGCCCAACACUCACAAGUUAAGGGGAGAAAGGUUCAUUUAGCUAAGUUUGUAGAGGUUUCAGUCUAUCAGAUGGCUCCAAGGCAGGGUGGCACAGCAGACAGGCAUCGCAGAAGAGAAACAGUUCAUGGUGGGCAGAAGGUAGCAAAGCAAGCAGGUGGCGACCACAGCUCUUUCCUUCCAUUAUGUCUUAUCCAGGCUACUUAGGGUGAGUAGCACUCACACCAUGAAUCAAUCCUAGCAUCACAUUCUAGAUCCAGCCACCUGUGAAAAGCCCCAUGUAUGACUGCACGAGCCUUUAGGGGAACAUCUAGACACAAACCAUAACUCUGUGUGUGUGUUGCUGCAAGUAUUAAUCACAUUGGUGACAAGCAGAUGAAAUCGGCUGGGUGUGCCACAUGCAUAAUCUUUCCUCAAACUGGAACCCGUAUAUUCAUCCUUCAUGGGCUGAUAUCCAGGAACACUUGCCUCUCAUGCUUACCACUUAUUCUGGAUGAACCCCCAAAUUCUCUUACCCAACCCUAUCACUGAUUACUCCCUCUCUUAGAGGAGGAAGUGUUUUCUUCUCCCAGCCAAUUUCAGCCAAAGAAAAAUCUUAGUUCAGGUUCUUUGUGUUGCUCCACUUUCUUCUUUCUAGUUCUUUCCCCCAUCACACACAUAAGUCCUUCUAGUUUUCACCUUCACCCUUUCCUAGAGUAUCCUAGUCAUUCAGAAAUAACCUUUAAAAGGCGGGGUACUUGUGUCCCAAAGAGACCCAAAGACUUGCUGGAGGAAUAAUGUAAGGGAAAUCCUCUUCUAGAUCCUCAACAUCCACAAACACUAGUAUGCUCAGGCCUGUCAGACAAAGUGGUGUCUAUGUGCAAGUAAGGCAGGGGAACACUGAGGGAGCAUUACUGCCAGAGAUAAAGUAAUGGAAGACUGUGCUGUAAUCGGAAUCGGAGGCCGCUGUGCCCUCAGAGAUGUUGGGAGACAUGGUCACAGAGCUCAAAAGACUGGAAGCCAGCAGAAGAUAAACCUGUGGCCAGCCGACCUUAGGUCCCACCUCCCCAUGUCUGUGCCAUUGCAUAGUCCUCUCCCUUUGGGAAUGUGAGCACCUAUGGCCAGCCCUAACCAAAGGAACAUGGCAAAAGUCACUUCACAAGCCACUCUGGUACACAAGGCUUUGGAAGGACCAGUCCUUGGGUCUCCCUUUCUCUCACCUCCACUGUCAGGGAAAUUGCAGGGAGUUUCUAGGAGCCCAGGCUAGUCUCAGACUUGCAAUGCUUGGAAAGAGAUUCUGCUAGCAAUCCCUGUGAAUCCAGGGGCUCCUUCCCAUUGAUCCCCUGAGGAGAUCACAGGCCUGACUGGUGUUCUGCCCACAGCUAGCAGAGAACCAAGCUCUUCUGUGCCCCAACUUCUGACUCACAGAAACUGAGAGUGUAGAUGGGAGUCGUUUAAGUCACUAAGUUCAUGGCAUCUGUUACACAGCAGUACAAAACUUAAGCAGCUGGAGAUGGUGGGGAGGCUGGGCUGAGGAGCACAGGUUUUAUCACAUAGGCCACCAGGAACCAGGCUUGCUCUCAGCAAGGAAAAGCCACAGAAGUAAGUUUGGGGACAGUCACUCUGACCGCAGGGCAGGAGGAAACUCGAGAACAAGGUGGAAGCCUUUUAUCUUCCAGGAAGUCAGGGAUACACCAGUGAGCAUGAGGCCUCAGACCCAGCAAAGCCAUUCAACCUGUAUUUACUGACUAUUUACAGGGUGUGGUGUUCAGGGGAGAGGAAUACGGGGAGAAUGACCCAGCAUGUUCCCUGCCUUCUGAAAUGUUAGGGUAGGUUCAGAAAUGUGUAUUUAAGCAGGCAAAACUUGGUUGGUUGGCUCUGUUUCUUUUCCAUUUGACAGUGUAGGACACUGCCCAGAAGGGAUGGAUCGAAGCCUCUUCCUGGGGGCAGAGGGCUCCUGCGUGGGGUAACGCUGAGGUCCAUCCUGAAGGAUGAGCCAGGACUGCACAGGCAGGGGUAGGAUUUCAUGGCCCUCCAAUGAUUGCUUGGUGUGAGAGAAAACUCGAGUUGGUUAGAAAGCAAGCCUAGAGCUGGGAAUCUUGGAAAAAGAGCUCUUUUUCCCUUCUCAUCUGCCUGGAGUGCUGAGUACUUCCGUGAUCUGUUAAAGAAGGAUCCACAGGAGAGCUGAGGUGCACUGGUUAUGAAGGAGAGAAGGACUUAACUGAGUUACCAGGAUGACUUAGAUAAGGACGAAGCUGCAGAGAGAACCUUUGUUUGGGGAGCACCCAAGAGCCAAGAAUGUGGCAGAGAGUUAGGGAGGGGGGUGUAGAGAAGACCAUCUGCUGUUAGAGAGUAUCGAGAAAUUGGAAAGUUAUUUUGGGACCAAAUGUGUACCUCAAAAGACAUGAUCAAUUCCAUUCUAACCCUGAUGUUUUUGGCCCACCCAGGAUCCCAGUACUGCCUAUUUAUCUCCUUUGAAUCGCUUCCUGUUAUUUGGGAUAAAAUCCACGCCCCCCCCCCCAUCAUCAUACACAAGGCACCACCCCUUCCAGCCUCUGCUCCCCUCUUUGUCCCCCCUGUUCUCCCCCUCUCCCCCCGCCCUUCCCCCAAUUUACACCCCCAGGCUCCCAGUGUUCUGGCCUCUUUCUCAGUUCACUCAGUUUCUUCUGUCCCUGGGUCUUUUCCAUACAUUAGGCUUGGGGGGGACACAGGCAGGUGAGGGCACAUUCCAGGCAGAACUCCUUGACCUCACCCCAGUUUGAGCUCCCCUCCUUCGCCUGCUCCCAACCUGAAUCCUGUCCUUUCUCUUUCAAAUAAAGCAUUGAUCCUACUGUACCUCUUGGAUGUCCUGCUGAAUUCUUUGUUUGGGACAAGACCCCAGGCCAGCAAUUCACCCUCUGUUGAAGUAGAACCCAGGGUAGAUGGCAGGGUAACGAUGUAACACUGGUGCCUCUGCCACUGACACAAGUGGACACCGCUAACUGAGAGCAAGGAAAAUACUCCAGCCAGCCCUCAGGACAAGGCGGGCAUCGUCACAGCGGGGCUGAACUGCACCCACUUCCAGCAACUCAUGACUCUCAAAAACGCAGCAUUGGAAGCAGGAAGAACUGGCUUGGCGUCCCUCUCUCCAGAGCCACUUUUUCUGCGGCACUGCUCCAGCACUCCUGGUAAGGAUGGGUGGAAACUGCAGAAAGCAAGAUCCAGCCAGCUGUUGGCCCUCCCUGCACCGCCCAGAGCAUCCCUCUCCUGUCCCAUGGGCCUAUCUGAUGGAAAGUUGGCCCAUCUUUGCCACAGUAAGUAAAAACCAGCACCCGGACAGCUGCAGGAGGAAGCACCUGCCUGGAGACCCCACCUGGGCUGCCAAGGCCCCGGACCCCACGUGAGUGUCUUCCCAGUUCUCAGUCCCUUCUCCCUUCUGCAGGGUAACUACUCUCCUAAAUUUGAUGGGCUUUUUGAGCUUUAUCUUUUCCUACUAUCUGGAUAGAGACAGAUGAUAGAUAGACAUAUACAUAGAUAUAUGUAGUGAUAUGUUAUUAAGUUGUAUAUGAGUCUUGAACCUUGUAUAAGUGGGAUUUUACUAUACACAUUCUGCAUGUUGGGAGAUUCAUCUGUGUUGAUAGGUGGGGAAGAAAGCAUCCUUUUCAGUACCAUAUAGUAUUCUAAUAUUCAGCAGCUACAGAAUCAGUAGGCAUCACAAUCCUGGAAGGGGCAGGAACCCCAGAAUCAUCCUCUCCUCUGCUCCCUCUCAGGAGAAAUGAAGACCCAGGAGGCUGUGCCAUAGGCUGUGCUGGAGCCCUGGCCCUGUGCAUUACGGAACUGUAGCCAGCCAGCUUGUGGGACAGGGUGACACCUUUCUAUCCCUGGACAUCAGAUGCCAAGAGCAGGUGCUCAUCACGGUCUAAGAAAAAGAGUUAAAAGUUGUCCAAGAAUCACCUGAUUGGGGAAUUCACUGAGGGUUACUCUAAUGUCCAGCCAAAGCCAGCAGUGACUGACACUUCAUAGUUUCCAGUGGGCUCAGUCCAUGGCCUGCUGGCUCCAAGGCAGAGACAACAUGGUGGAAGGGCUUGGUGGAGGAAAAUUGCUCAUGGUGGCCAGGAAACAGACAGGAGGAGCCUGAGAUGUGAACAUACCCUUCCACCUCACAACCCAAUGACUCACCCCUUCCUACCAGACCCCACCUCCAAAAGUGAGGCUUUUGGGGACAUCUUAGAUGUAAACUAUAACAACCUGGGACCUCAUGGCUGGAGAGUGUCCCCGUUCUUAGGGAACCAAGACAUGUCACCCAAGGUUGGGGCAGUCUGGAGACUCGGGACUCUUUCCCCACGUUCAGAUCCACCCCUUCAUCCCAUCCACAGUGUCCCUGUCAACCACCAAGACCAAUGGUGGGUUCUGAGAAGAAGGUGAUGGAGGUGUGACCUGAUUUCUCAGUGGCUGUUGGGGUUGAGAGACAGGGAGAGCCAUGAGGAGACCGCUGGGGCGACUCGUGGGAUGGAACAGUGGGGAUUGUGAGAAGUCUUACUUGGGUGCUCAUUUAAGGCAGGGCCAACAGGCUGUCCUGGCAGACUGGACCUGGAGGGUGAGAGGAAGGAGAAAGCCAGUGCAGUUCCAAUGGAUUUGUCGCACCUUGGAGAAGGCAGCUGCUGUUGGAAGAGAACCCCCCCCCCGCCUUGAAGUGGGAGGGACUGAACCAAGAAUGUGUCCACCAGCAAGGCCAUCUUCUGCCUCUGCUCUAUCCUCCCAGGCUUCGGGUCUCUCUGUUCAAUAAGGGAAAUAAGACCCAACUGAUUGCUUACGGAAACACCAGACCUUAUUACAAAUGAACACUUUCCCCAGAGCUCUCAUGUCCGGAAGUCAGACACGUUUACUCUGGGGCAGCUGCCAACAUAUCUUUGGAAUCCUUUUCUAGGGAUUGAGUUGAUUUAUGGCCCAUCCAAGAAAAAUCAGUCUUAUCGUUUCUCUCCAGAAGGUCAGUUGAAACAUUUACUGUGUAAAUCAGACCUGACUCUUCCAAACAUUGAAACUUUUUUCCCCAGGAUGACCAUCUGCCACCAUGCAGAAUAAGCAAAUCUCCAGCUGUGGCCAUCUCAUUGGAAAACCAACUAUGAUUCCAGGCAGGAUGAAUUUUCCUCUGUACUCCAGCACCCACGGGUGGCAGUGAGGACCCUUGCUCUCCUGAGCUCCAGCUCCCCUGCCCUUGACACUGGGCGAGAGGCAGAGUGAGGGCUUCGUGACAGCCCAGCACUCACCUGGCUAGAAAGACCGUAUGAUCUGGCUUUAAAACAGUGUCACUUUGUCAUUUAUGAUCCACAAGGCUUUCUCUUAGCAUCUCUUUCAUCAUUCUAGAGGUGAGAAAACCCUCUGAACCCAGUUUGCUCAUUCGUGAAAGGUGGCCAAUGACGAUUGUAUCCUUCUCCCAGGACAGUUUGGAAGAGGAACACACUACUGCCAACAAAGAACCUCACACACUGUGCAGGCAGCUCUUGAGCGACCUGGACACAUUGCUGUCCUCCACCCUCACGUGGGAUCAUGGUCACUAGACCACGGCGCACCUUUUGCUUUUCCUGGAGGAACACACUUUCUGGCUCCAGCUGAUACUGUGCUGUCUUCCUCACCCUCGUCUGGUUUUCCCCAGAUCCCCUCUGAGCACCUCUGUAGCUUGGAUGGUUGUGGGGUUGGGUGGCCACCUUGCCAUGUCUCCCCUCCUCUGAGGGCAGGCAGGUGGCCCUCCUGCCCAAGCCAGCACCCCAAAUUAUCAGCCACCUCUGUUUCCUCCACAUCUGCCAAGCAGUUGUCAGCUGCUGCCUGGAUUUUUCUCCACGGAACAGCACAGACUUUGCAGCACAAGGUGGGACCCUGGGCUGGCCCUACACGAGGGGCCAUGAGACCUGUCCGUCAAGCCUCAGAGUCCUCCCUCUCCAUCGAGUUUUCCAUUGACCUGAGAAAUGGCCAUCGGCUGCUGCCGGGGGACUUUUCUUCCUUCAAGAGAAUUUUAGAGACAUUUUAACACGGGGGCUUCUGAAAUCCAUGAUUCAUGCUUAAAAUCUGAUUCACUAGUAGAUCGGUUGUGUGAAAUGAGUUUGGGCCAAAAUGUCUUCUAGAAGGACACACGCAUGCAUGCAUACACACAUAGAUUAAAGAAUCGCCUUCCAUUCGCUCCUUGGAAUACAAGUUAGGGUGGACCCUCAAGACAGCUUGAGGAUCUCCUCCAUCCCCUUCUUUCCUUCCUUCCCCUCCUCCCCUAACCCUUAAAGAAGAUCCACAUACCCCAGUUGAUCUGCUCAUUGUCCAAAUUAGAUGAGAAAAUGGAUUUAAAAGUUCCUUGCUCUGUGCCGGUCCCUAAUAGUCACUUUAUUAAUGAUUGGUUAAUUGUUUUCCAUCCCUCACAUCUGCACACCAAAACACCGAAGGUGGAAUCUCUGGGCCGUGAAUGUCCUUGUUGUACAUAUCCUUCAUCCCAUCUCGGCCCAGCUGCAACAGCCCAGCCGUGCCUGUCUUUGUUUCUGAGUCUCUGGACUUUGUAGAAACUUCCAACCCCUCGACUUGACAAAUGACUUUCUAAGUGGAGGGGGUUUUACAUUUAAUAUGCAUCAUGAGAAACAUCAGAGCUAUGCUCAGGAGAUCAAAUGGUUUCUUCAGCUAAGAAUGUAAGCAUUAUCCCUAUUAAUAUCUUUCCAACAAAGGCCCAGGCUCCCCAUCCCCGACAACUCUAUGAUCUCAGUUUAUUAACAUUGCCAGUCUCCCCCACUUGCUGCCCCUGCUGCAGACUGGGUCACAGUCUAAGGUCCACCCUCCACACACACACUGCCUUGGCAGGGCUGCACAGGGGAAAAAACUCUCUGUCAUCAUAAAUCAUAAAAUCAAACAACCAAACGCCAUCUCCGGGGAAAUAAAUUCUGAAGAGCUAAGGAGGGAAAAGGGGGGGCUAUGAUUAUUUUAAUCCUAUUCCAGAUGCUCUGGUCUGCUCCCUAAACAAAACCUGAAUUAAUUGCAAGCCUUAGUCAAAGAGAUAAUAGCUGCAUGCGGGUGUAGGCAAUGUUGGGCAAGGAAUAGUUGCUCAGUUAAUGUUUAUGUAAAAAUAAAUGAGUGUAAAUGCACAAGAGUUCUGUGGACGCCGCCUUUGCCAGACAAGAUGGCUCAUUGUGACAGAGUUCCCCACAGCGUCCCUACCCAGUGACCUGGGUGCUCUGCUUUUCAAAAGCACCUUCAUACUUACUAGCUAGUUUGACUCGAGCAGCAAUCGAAGCUUGCACUUGGCCUUGGGAGAAUGCACUUCUGUAAAAGCCUCAAAGAGUGGACUGAGGUGACACUUGCACGCAGAAGCGUGCACACACACACACAUGCACGCGUGGAGGAAAAGCUGUUCUCAUAAGAAUUUUGAACCAUUGAAAGAUGUCAAAACCUCUGUGAGUACACAAAGGCAUACUGAUUCUUUACCAAAACCGGAAUGAAUUAAAAUCACUUACACUCUUCUUUACCACCCCUCAAAAGUGUCGUCGAGGAUGGACACUUUGGCUCCAAAGGGCAAAAGGGCCACAGAAGCGCCCUGGUGUUCAGCCACCCAAUCCUGAAACCAAUGACAAAAUGAAGGGCUCCCUGGGCCUCCUCUUAUGCAUUACAAGAUGGGAAGGAGAUGCCUGGCGCUACCCUACAUGCCAGGAUUCUUGGGUGAAUAAAAGCAGACAAGGUAAAAAAGAUCUCAGAAGAGCAGAAAUGGAAGAACAGUAGGGGAAGGACAGACAGCAUGGGGUGAGCCAGGGUGCUUGGUGCCAAAAUGGCACCAGGUGACAGGAGUAACAACACCCAGGUCGUCUUGGUUCUGGUUUGUGGUCCCAGACGGCUUGCUGCAGGAUCGGGCAUUCUGUGGGGCCAGAGCCUAGGCUAUCUGGAAGACCCCAGAGCUGGGAGGCCACCAGCUGAGUGACCUGGAGCUGACCCGUGUCUCCCAGCUCCUCCACUCCCUUCCGGGUCCAGGGCUCACACCUUUGCCUCCUGGAGGCCACGUAAGAAGCAGGCAGGUGCUGGGGCCUGGCACACAGAGAGGCUGCCCAGAUGUGGCCUUCACUCCCAAGACCCUCUGGGGGCAGGGGCUUCCUCACUGUUUCCAGUCUGCUCUUUUCUCAAAUUCUGCUUCAUCGCUCCGGGUUUCCUCCCACAGCCCUCUCUCUCUGUGGCCCAGCCCGGCCCGCCAGGAGCCUUGGAAAGUCGCGUUGUGCAGAGAAGCAGAUGGCUCUGCCUCCUCCUCCAUCCCCUGCUAAGUGGAUCUGGUGCCCUGAGGACUGCAGCCCUGGGGGAUGGCAGGGAGGGCACCUGGCCCACACACCUGCUCUGGAUCCUGAGGUCCACCAGCUGCUUCCCACUCAAAAGCAAGAAGCCAGUCCUGGGGCCUGGCCUCUACUGCAGCACUGCAUGCCACAUGUGCAUCCCUUGCUACCUUACUUAUUCAGUGGCAUCUGACAAGAAACUGCUACACCAAUCACCAAGCGCUAUGCCUACAUCAGAGGGGUCUCUGGAACUCUGCUGUCCAACAGGUCACUUCUAGACACAUGCAACUACACAAAUGUACAUGAGUCCGAUUAAAUUUAAGAUUCAGUUUCUGGCCAGGUGUGAUGGUGCAUGCCUAUAAUCUCAGCGCUCUGGGAGGCUGAGCCAGGAGGAUUGUAAAAGCCCAGCCAACUUAAUGAUUUAGCAAGACCCUGUCUCAAAAUUUGAGACAAAAAAUUUUACAGAUACAGGGCUGUAGCUCAAUGCAAAGGCCCUGGAUUCAAUGCCUAGUACUAGAGAAAAAAAGCUGUCAGUGAUAGUAGCCAUGUCUCAGGUGCUAAGGAGUCACCUGUGGCUGCUACAAAUAAGGGCCACGUCUGUCACCAGAGGAAGUCCUGCUGCACAGACUGCCUGUUAGGUGACCCUAGCAGGAAAGGUUGA